rnacentral:tRNA from 1 species
GGUAGCGUGGCCGAGCGGUGUAAGGCGCUGGUUUUAGGCACCAGUCAUUUCGAUGGCGUGGGUUCGAAUCCCACCGCUGCCA